rnacentral:snoRNA from 1 species
AACAUGAUGUAUAAAACGUAUGGAUAGAGAGAUGUAGUUAUGUCUACUGAACCCAGAUGUAAGCCAUUUCUCCUUGUUUCCAUACCAAUCGUCUGAUU